rnacentral:tRNA from 1 species
GGGGUUGUGGCUCAGUGGUAGAGCACUUGCCUAGCAUGUAUGAGGCCCUGGGUUCAAUCCUCAGCACCACA